UACAGAGGGGGCAAGCGUUGUUCGGAAUUACUGGGCGUAAAGGGCGCGUAGGCGGCCUGUUAAGUCGAACGUGAAAUCCCCGGGCUCAACCCGGGAACUGCGUCCGAUACUGGCAGGCUUGAAUCCGGGAGAGGGAUGCGGAAUUCCAGGUGUAGCGGUGAAAUGCGUAGAUAUCUGGAGGAACACCGGUGGCGAAGGCGGCGUUGCU
rnacentral:rRNA from 1 species